GUGCCAGCAGCCGCGGUAAUACCUAGGUGGCAAGCGUUAUCCGGAAUUAUUGGGCGUAAAGCGCGCGCAGGUGGUUUCUUAAGUCUGAUGUGAAAGCACACGGCUCAACCGUGGAGGGUCAUUGGAAACUGGGAGACUUGAGUGCAGAAGAGGAAAGUGGAAUUCCAUGUGUAGCGGUGAAAUCCGUAGAGAUAUGGAGGAACACCAGUGGCGAAGGCGACUUUCUGGUCUGUAACUGACACUGAGGAGCGAAAGCGUGGGGAGAUAACAGCGGUAGAUACCCCCGUAGUCC
rnacentral:rRNA from 1 species